GACGAAGGAAGCAAGCGUUAUCCGGAUUCAUUGGGUUUAAAGGGAGCGUAGGCGGAUUGGUAAGUCAGUGGUGAAAUCUUUGGGCUUAACCCAGAAACUGCCAUUGAUACUGCUGAUCUAGAGUACAGUUGCCGUUGGCGGAAUAUGACAUGUAGUGGUGAAAUACUUAGAUAUGUCAUAGAACACCGAUUGCGAAGGCAGCUAACGAAGCUGUAACUGACGCUGAGGCUCGAAAGUGCGGGGAUCAAACAGG
rnacentral:rRNA from 1 species